UACGAAGGGGGCUAGCGUUGUUCGGAAUUACUGGGCGUAAAGCGCACGUAGGCGGGCGAUUAAGUCAGGGGUGAAAUCCCGGAGCUCAACUCCGGAACUGCCUUUGAUACUGGAAAGCUUGAGUUCGGGAGAGGUGAGUGGAACUGCGAGUGUAGAGGUGAAAUUCGUAGAUAUUCGCAAGAACACCAGUGGCGAAGGCGGCUCACUGGCCCGAUACUGACGCUGAGGUGCGAAAGCGUGGGGAGCAAACAGG
rnacentral:rRNA from 1 species